rnacentral:rRNA from 1 species
GUCCACGCCCUAAACGAUGUCAACUAGGUGUUGGGGGAGCAAUCUCUUGGUACCGCAGCUAACGCGUGAAGUUGACCGCCUGGGGAGUACGGUCGCAAGAUUAAAACUCAAAGGAAUUGACGGGGACCCGCACAAGCGGUGGAUGAUGUGGAUUAAUUCGAUGCAACGCGAACAACCUUACCUACCCUUGACAUGUCCGGAAUCCUGCUGAAAGGCGGGAGUGCCCGAAAGGGAACUGGAACACAGGUGCUGCAUGGCUGUCGU